rnacentral:rRNA from 1 species
AGAGUUUGAUCAUGGCUCAGAAUCAACGCUGGCGGCGUGCCUAACACAUGCAAGUCGAGCGAGAAAGGGGGGGCAACUCCCUGAGUAAAGCGGCGCACGGGUGAGUAACACGUGGGUAAUCUGCCCUGGAGUGGGGAAUAACACCGGGAAACCGGUGCUAAUACCGCAUACGAUAACGAGGUCUUCGGACUUUGUUAUGAAAGGAGCAAUUCGCUCUAGGAGGAGCCCGCGGCUGAUUAGCUAGUUGGUGAGGUAACGGCUCACCAAGGCUACGAUCAGUAUCCGGUCUGAGAGGACGGUCGGCCACACUGGAACUGAGACACGGUCCAGACUCCCACGGGAGGCAGCAGUGGGGAAUUUUUCGCAAUGGGGGCAACCCUGACGAAGCAACGCCGCGUGGGUGAUGAAGUAUCUCGGUACGUAAAACCCUUUCGACGGGGAAGAAACCGCAAGGUUGACGGUACCCGUAGAAGAAGCCCCGGCUAACUCCGUGCCAGCAGCCGCGGUAAUACGGGGGGGGCAAGCGUUGUUCGGAAUUACUGGGCGUAAAGGGCGCGUAGGCGGUUCGCUAAGUUGAAUGUGAAAACUCUGGGCUUAACCCAGAGCCUGCAUUCAAUACUGGCGGGCUAGAGUUCUGGAGGGGAUAGCGGAAUUCCUGGUGUAGCGGUGAAAUGCGUAGAUAUCAGGAGGAACACCGGUGGCGAAGGCGGCUAUCUGGACAGAGUCUGACGCUGAGGCGCGAAAGCUAGGGGAGCAAACAGGAUUAGAUACCCUAGUAGUCC